AUUGAACGCUGGCGGCAUGCCUUACACAUGCAAGUCGAAAGGUAACAGGUCUUCGGAUGCUGACGAGUGGCGAACGGGUGAGUAAUACAUCGGAACGUGCCCGAUCGUGGGGGAUAACGCAGCGAAAGCUUUGCUAAUACCGCAUAAGCUCUACGGAUGAAAGCAGGGGACCGCAAGGCCUUGCGAGACCGGAGCGGCCGAGGGCAGAUAAGGUAGUUGGUGGGAUAAAAGCUUACCAAGCCGACGAUCUGUAGCUGGUCUGAGAGGACGACCAGCCACACUGGGACUGAGACACGGCCCAGACUCCUACGGGAGGCAGCAGUGGGGAAUUUUGUACAAUGGGCGAAAGCCUGAUCCAGCCAUGCCGCGUGCAGGAUGAAGGCCUUCGGUUUGUAAACUGCUUUUGUACGGAACGAAAAGGUUCUUUCUAAUAAAGAGGGCUCACGACAGUACCGUAAGAAUAAGCACCGGCUAACUACGUGCCAGCCGCCGCGGUAACAC
rnacentral:rRNA from 1 species